GUGACUUAAAAGUUGUGGUAGUUGUGAGCUUCUCUUGGAGGGUUGGGCGAAUUGUGAAGAAAUACGUUAAAUUAGAAGAAAUGUAAAGAAGACUUCCCCUCUGAACUUUAGGUUUGCUGUGACUCAGAGAGUGUGCCAAAAAGCUUACAAUCAGGACCCUGAAGGUUUCUGGAAUAACAAACUACCCCUUCUUCAGCAACUGUAUGGGAUAAGGAAAAAUUCCAGAUGGAAACUAGAGUUUUGAUGAUGAAGCCUUUGCUCACAUCCCAAAAGCACAAACACAUAGGAGGAGCUGCUGCUAGAAAAAGAAUGAAGAUCACCAUUGCUGGGCACAAAUGAUUGCAAUGAUUAAGAAACUGGAGUUCUGAGAAGUUAAAGGGACUUUCCUGGUGCAAACGAGUGACUGGCAGAUCCAGCACUGCAAUGCAGCUCCCCACCUAACCAUGAGUAAAAUGAAUAAAAAGACAAUAAGGCAAACACUUCUGUUCUCCAGUCUUUCCCAUCCCUUCCUACCAUUAGUCUCAUAAUGUGCAAUCAAGUCCUGGGGUCAUUUCAGCAUUUCAUGUACUCUGUGCAAAUCACAUUUACAUCCAAUUAAUGUUACCAAUACCUGCCCCGUCUUGUUAGCUAUUUCAUUAACUGCUUCCCUUCUGCAGAGGGAUGCCCCACCCCCACCUCAUUUUUCAUGAUCCUAUUAUAGAUGAGUGAAAUCUUAAAGGAGAAGGAAUCCUAUUUCCUCUUCUCACAAUUUGAAGAAUGAGAUAUAUUCAUGAGACUUUCAAGGCUUAAAUCUUAUUUCAUUUUAUUCUUUAGAAAUGCAUAAAAAUCUUAGUAUGUAAGUAUUCUUCAAAGCAUUUUAAAGAAAUGUGUAUAACAGGAUUUGGUAGCUGGAAAGGGCUUUUGAGUUUGCUGGGCCUGGCAUGCCCACUCUGCAAUUCAAGAAACUAAAGCCUAGCAAUGGUGAUGACUUACCUGGGGGUCCCAGAGGCAGGCGGUGGGUAAGAAUGCCAGUAUCCUGUUAUCUAAAAUCAUGUUAUUUUUACCAGUCAUCAUGUGAAUGUUUUGGUAUGUUAUGCAUCUGAUACGGUUCUGUGCUUUUCUUUGGUGUGUGUGUGGUUGAAAGUCCAGGUUUUGCCUUUAUUCUAACUGUAGCCUAUAAUAAUAAAACAGAUAUACUAUUACAUAUAUUACGUUGCUUAAAGUUGUGUCAUUGUAUGAAGGUAGUUCGUGUAUAAUUUUGCAACACCUACUGAUCCUUACAAAAAUAUCUGAACAUUUAAGAACCCCUGGUUUGUUUCCAUCCACUAGGAUUGCUUUACUGUUAAUGGGGCUGUGACCAUCAUUUCUGAGGAUUCAGAUGAUUGCAAAGAGCUCACUAUUCCCUGUGCCAUUAUCUCUACUAUAUGAGCGAACACUAACAAAAACAAGGUGGUGGCUAUAUUUUCACUUCAGUCACAACCAUUUCUAUUGGAGGCUCACAUCACUCAAAUCAAAGAUAGUUGUCAUCCCUUUUUCUUCACUAAAAUGGUAGUGAUAUAUUUUGAUCAUAAAGAAAUUACCAGGAGAUUAUUAAAAAUUCAUUUUAGACAUUGCCUCAAAGAAAGUUACCUGGAUUGCAUUCUACCUGUUUGGAAGCUACUAGGUAAAUAGCUGUUUAGUUAAGAUUCUUAUAGAUUAAUGAAAUUCAUCAUUUGAAUUUUUUUAGGUCAUCAGAAAACUUAUAAUCCUGGCUUUGAGACCGAUAUACUUUUAUAUUAAAGUUCUGAAAAUACUCAUUUUUUUUUGCACUUGUUCAGGAAUAUUUUGACAAACUAUGGAAAUGAAUAACGAAGUGUACAUAAUAAAUGUUCACAGUCUGACUUUCCAUAAGGCUUAUGAAAUAAUAUACAAAUAGCUACCAUUCUGCUGAGAUGUCACAGUAAAUACAAUAAUGGCACAGAAGUUAAAUGUUCCCAAAUGGGAUGCCAUCUUUAUGACCUCCCAAGUCUCUUUUCCAAUUAAAAAUUUGCCCCUUUUUAAUUGAAAGAGAGUUCCAUUCUAAAAGAAUAUAAAAAUAGAAAAUGAGUCAAAGAAUCUUAUACACAUAUAAUUUUGAAGGAAAAGCUAUAAAUAUCAGAUGAGAUAUUAUAUAUAUCUUUAAGAAUGUACUUUGUCUCACCGUACCAAAUAUCCUGUGAAAAUAAAAUAGAAUUUGAUAUAUAUGAAUUGCCUAAGUAUAACUAAAUAUUAUAAUUUUAGUUAACACAGACAAUUUAAACAGAAUAAGUACUAAUAUACUUUUUGUAAAAUUAAGGUAAACUAAAACCUACCUAAAAUCUAAUUUGUUAACCUAUCAUUUUGAAUCAAAAAUAAAAGAAUGUUUCAUCAAGCAAGGCACAUUUCUUUUAGGCAAGUCUGUCUUUAAUACCAUUCAUCUGGGCACAGUGUUGACUUCACUUAUUUGGGUGAAUGGGCUAGUCUACCAAUGGAAGCCUUUGGUAUAAUCACACCCUCACAGAUAGGGUUAAACCUAACCCAGAACACAGACUAUAUGAACAUGUUCCACAAUUAAAUACAGUCCAGUAGUUAAAUGAGAAAAAUAAAUCAGCAAUAGUUGGCUGGUUAGAAACACACGUGAGGCUUUCUUUAUCUGUGACAUUGAUUGUAGUUUUUGGGUGACUUGAUUCCACCAGAAUGUCAACAGGUUGGAAUGAUACCUUAACAGUUAAUUUUUAAUUUUUUAUUUUUAAUGUUCCUCUUUCUCUCCUGCUUGAUAUCAUUUGUAACCACUUAUAAUCUGAAGAGCGCCUUCCAGCUUUGAGCUCUUUCCUCCACAUGAAGCAUUUGUUAGAGAUGUAUCUCUGAAUAUUAACCGAAUGAAAACAUGUAACAGCCACUGCAUUCUCAUCCAAGCAGUUUAAAACUGAGCAUCUUUCUGGCUAGGCUCACUCUGCAGUUCCUUAUGUGGGGCUCUUGAGGGACCUGUUGGACAGAGAAGACU
rnacentral:lncRNA from 1 species